ACACUGAUGGUGAAGUGGUUAUCAUGCUUGCCUUCCACGAACAGUGUGUAGCAAGCGGCAGGGGUUCGAUUCCCCUUCAGUGUA